UUGUAGUUGAAGCAGUUGUUAUUGUUGUUGGAGCUACUGUUGUUGUGGUUGGAGCUUCUGUGGUUGUGGUUGGAGCUUCUGUGGUUGGUGUUGGAGCCGCUGUUGUAGGUGAAGCAGCUGUGGUUGGAGUUGUUGUGGUUGGAACCACUGUAGUUGUGGAUGGAGCAGUUGUUGUGGUUGGAACCAUUGUUGUUGUGGUUGGAGCUGCUGUGGUUGUGGUUGGAGCCGCCGUGGUUGUGGUUGGAGCCGCUGUGGUUGUUGUUGGAGCUACUGUGGAUGUGGUUGGAGCCACUGUGGUUGUGGUUGGAGCAGCAUUGGUUGUGGUUG